GCAGGUCACGUGGCCAAUAUGUAAAUCUACGACCCUGGAGCAGUUUAAUGGCCGUGGUGACCGCAGGUAGUAACUCAGGCUCUCCUAUAAAUGGAAAAUAAAAACAACAACCCAUUACGGAUGAUGCUACAAGCCAAGGGAUGCCAAGGAAUGACAGCAACCAACAGAAGCAAGAAGAGUACCAUAAAAGAGAGCUCAACCCUGCCAACAUCCUAAUUUUGGACUCCUGGCCUCUGGAACUGUGAGAGAAUAAAUUUCUGUUGUUUUAAGGCUUCACUUGAGUUUCAGGCACCAGAAGUCCAGUAGCCACAUUCUACAGAUCCCCAAAGUUCUCUGCAUGAGCAGUGAGAUGUAAGGUUCAGAAGGAAGAAUGGUCCAGGAGCCAAUCUUUUUCUCAAGCAGUGAUGGCAAGCUUGUGAGCCUGUGUUCUUCCUGCCCAUCCUUGGUCUUGGACCAGCACAGAGGGCCACUGUGAUGGUCAGUAGUGGCUUACUGUAAUAUCCUGAGUGCUGCAGCAGGAAGAAGAUUGCUGCCUUUGGACCACAGAUGUGACAACGAAUCUUCACUGAAGGGCAGACUCUGACUUUCUCUCCCCCAACUCUUCCAAAGGCUGUUUAAACACCCAGUUCCCUGAAUUAAAUUCCUUUCUGCUUCAGUUGCCUGAAUCUUUGUAUUUGGGACUGCAUUCUGGAAGACACAGGAGAUAAGAAACUGGUCCAAGAUCAUGAACUAGCAAGUUGUGGGAGUGGAAAUCAAACCAGGUCUGUUCUGAGUCCAGGACUUGCACUCGUUAUAUUGAAAAAGGUUUUUUAACAUAAAAUUUACCAUCUUAACCAUAUUAAGUCUACAGUUCAGUAGUAUUGUUGUUGUUCAGUUGCUGAGUUGUGUCCAACUCUUUGCAACCCC